rnacentral:lncRNA from 10 species
UUUCCAUUUGCUCUGCCAUUCAAAACCUUGUGAGGGCCCUCAGGGAAGAAUCCCUUUGCAGAUGAGGAAACUGAGGCCCCACGUGGUGAAGACAAUUUUUACCCGAAUCCACCCACAACAAGAGACCAUUUGGAUAAUGUACAUUAUGGGAAGAGAACAGAGUCUCAGUGAAGAUCAUGUUUCCCCAGCAACACAGGUGCCAGGAGUAGCUGGCUCUGGUCCCAGCCCAGACUCAGAAAUCCUGAGCCACCAGACCAUUUCUAGAUUAACAAUGACCCACUGGAAACCAGUGUCAGCAUAACAACAGUUACGAGAGCUAAACCUACAAAAUAGAAACACAAGUAAAACUUGUUCAAGUGGUUUGCAGUCAUUGAACAUAGAUCAGCUCCUAUGAAAACAAACUCCAUGGGU